UGGACAACAUUCAAACCCUUUGCAGUUGCAAUCAGCGUCUGAAAAAACAUAAUAGUUACAACUUUCAACAACGGAUCUCUUGGUUCUGGCAUCGAUGAAGAACGCAGCGAAAUGCGAUAAGUAGUGUGAAUUGCAGAAUUCAGUGAAUCAUCGAAUCUUUGAACGCACAUUGCGCCCCUUGGUAUUCCAUGGGGCAUGCCUGUUCGAGCGUCAUUUGUACCUUCAAGCUCUGCUUGGUGUUGGGUGUUUGUCUCGCCUCCGCGUGUAGACUCGCCUUAAAACAAUUGGCAGCCGGCGUAUUGAUUUCGGAGCGCAGUACAUCUCGCGCUUUGCACUCAUAACGACGACGUCCAAAAGUACAUUUUUACACUCUUGACCUCGGAUCAGGUAGGGAUACCC
rnacentral:rRNA from 1 species